rnacentral:rRNA from 1 species
UACGUAGGGUGCAGGCGUUAAUCGGAAUUACUGGGCGUAAAGCGUGCGCAGGCGGUUUCUUAAGUCAGAUGUGAAAGCCCCGGGCUUAACCUGGGAACUGCGUUUGAAACUGGGAGACUUGAGUGUGGCAGAGGGGGGUGGAAUUCCACGUGUAGCAGUGAAAUGCGCAGAUAUCAGGAGGAACACCAACGGCGAAGGCAGCACUCUGGGCCGGUACUGACGCUGAGGAGCGAAAGCGUGGGGAGCAAACAGG